rnacentral:misc_RNA from 1 species
UCCGCAUGCCGUGGUGGUGGUGGC